UCUCAACUGGAAGUUGGUCGCCUGCCCCAC
rnacentral:piRNA from 2 species